rnacentral:rRNA from 1 species
GUUAUAUGGUCAAGUGAAGAAGCGCAUACGGUGGAUGCCUUGGCAGUCAGAGGCGAUGAAAGACGUGGUAGCCUGCGAAAAGCUUCGGGGAGUCGGCAAACAGACUUUGAUCCGGAGAUCUCUGAAUGGGGGAACCCACCUAGGAUAACCUAGGUAUCUUGUACUGAAUCCAUAGGUGCAAGAGGCGAACCAGGGGAACUGAAACAUCUAAGUACCCUGAGGAAAAGAAAUCAACCGAGAUUCCCUUAGUAGUGGCGAGCGAACGGGGAUUAGCCCUUAAGCUUCAUUGAUUUUAGCGGAACGCUCUGGAAAGUGCGGCCAUAGUGGGUGAUAGCCCCGUACGCGAAAGGAUCUUUGAAGUGAAAUCGAGUAGGACGGAGCACGAGAAACUUUGUCUGAACAUGGGGGGACCAUCCUCCAAGGCUAAAUACUACUGACUGACCGAUAGUGAACCAGUACCGUGAGGGAAAGGCGAAAAGAACCCCGGAGAGGGGAGUGAAAUAGAACCUGAAACCGUAUGCGUACAAGCAGUGGGAGCCUACUUGUUAGGUGACUGCGUACCUUUUGUAUAAUGGGUCAGCGACUUAUAUUCAGUGGCAAGCUUAACCGUAUAGGGUAGGCGUAGCGAAAGCGAGUCUUAAUAGGGCGUUUAGUCGCUGGGUAUAGACCCGAAACCGGGCGAUCUAUCCAUGAGCAGGUUGAAGGUUAGGUAACACUGACUGGAGGACCGAACCCACUCCCGUUGAAAAGGUAGGGGAUGACUUGUGGAUCGGAGUGAAAGGCUAAUCAAGCUCGGAGAUAGCUGGUUCUCCUCGAAAGCUAUUUAGGUAGCGCCUCAUGUAUCACUCUGGGGGGUAGAGCACUGUUUCGGCUAGGGGGUCAUCCCGACUUACCAAACCGAUGCAAACUCCGAAUACCCAGAAGUGCCGAGCAUGGGAGACACACGGCGGGUGCUAACGUCCGUCGUGAAAAGGGAAACAACCCAGACCGCCAGCUAAGGUCCCAAAGUUGUGGUUAAGUGGUAAACGAUGUGGGAAGGCUUAGACAGCUAGGAGGUUGGCUUAGAAGCAGCCACCCUUUAAAGAAAGCGUAAUAGCUCACUAGUCGAGUCGGCCUGCGCGGAAGAUGUAACGGGGCUCAAACCACACACCGAAGCUGCGGGUGUCACGUAAGUGACGCGGUAGAGGAGCGUUCUGUAAGCCUGUGAAGGUGAGUUGAGAAGCUUGCUGGAGGUAUCAGAAGUGCGAAUGCUGACAUGAGUAACGACAAUGGGUGUGAAAAACACCCACGCCGAAAGACCAAGGGUUCCUGCGCAACGUUAAUCGACGCAGGGUUAGUCGGUUCCUAAGGCGAGGCUGAAAAGCGUAGUCGAUGGGAAACAGGUUAAUAUUCCUGUACUUCUGGUUACUGCGAUGGAGGGACGGAGAAGGCUAGGCCAGCUUGGCGUUGGUUGUCCAAGUUUAAGGUGGUAGGCUGAAAUCUUAGGUAAAUCCGGGGUUUCAAGGCCGAGAGCUGAUGACGAGUCGUCUUUUAGAUGACGAAGUGGUUGAUGCCAUGCUUCCAAGAAAAGCUUCUAAGCUUCAGGUAACCAGGAACCGUACCCCAAACCGACACAGGUGGUCGGGUAGAGAAUACCAAGGCGCUUGAGAGAACUCGGGUGAAGGAACUAGGCAAAAUGGCACCGUAACUUCGGGAGAAGGUGCGCCGGCUAGGGUGAAGGAUUUACUCCGUAAGCUCUGGCUGGUCGAAGAUACCAGGCCGCUGCGACUGUUUAUUAAAAACACAGCACUCUGCAAACACGAAAGUGGACGUAUAGGGUGUGACGCCUGCCCGGUGCCGGAAGGUUAAUUGAUGGGGUUAGCGCAAGCGAAGCUCUUGAUCGAAGCCCCGGUAAACGGCGGCCGUAACUAUAACGGUCCUAAGGUAGCGAAAUUCCUUGUCGGGUAAGUUCCGACCUGCACGAAUGGCGUAACGAUGGCGGCGCUGUCUCCACCCGAGACUCAGUGAAAUUGAAAUCGCUGUGAAGAUGCAGUGUAUCCGCGGCUAGACGGAAAGACCCCGUGAACCUUUACUGUAGCUUUGCACUGGACUUUGAGCCUGCUUGUGUAGGAUAGGUGGGAGGCUUUGAAGCGUGGACGCCAGUUCGCGUGGAGCCAUCCUUGAAAUACCACCCUGGCAUGCUUGAGGUUCUAACUCUGGUCCGUAAUCCGGAUCGAGGACAGUGUAUGGUGGGCAGUUUGACUGGGGCGGUCUCCUCCUAAAGAGUAACGGAGGAGUACGAAGGUGCGCUCAGACCGGUCGGAAAUCGGUCGCAGAGUAUAAAGGCAAAAGCGCGCUUGACUGCGAGACAGACACGUCGAGCAGGUACGAAAGUAGGUCUUAGUGAUCCGGUGGUUCUGUAUGGAAGGGCCAUCGCUCAACGGAUAAAAGGUACUCCGGGGAUAACAGGCUGAUACCGCCCAAGAGUUCAUAUCGACGGCGGUGUUUGGCACCUCGAUGUCGGCUCAUCACAUCCUGGGGCUGAAGCCGGUCCCAAGGGUAUGGCUGUUCGCCAUUUAAAGUGGUACGCGAGCUGGGUUUAGAACGUCGUGAGACAGUUCGGUCCCUAUCUGCCGUGGACGUUUGAGAUUUGAGAGGGGCUGCUCCUAGUACGAGAGGACCGGAGUGGACGAACCUCUGGUGUUCCGGUUGUCACGCCAGUGGCAUUGCCGGGUAGCUAUGUUCGGAAAAGAUAACCGCUGAAAGCAUCUAAGCGGGAAACUUGCCUCAAGAUGAGAUCUCACUGGGAACUUGAUUCCCCUGAAGGGCCGUCGAAGACUACGACGUUGAUAGGCUGGGUGUGUAAGCGUUGUGAGGCGUUGAGCUAACCAGUACUAAUCGCCCGUGAGGCUUGACCAUAUAACACCCAAACA